GGAAGUUGAAGAUCGAAGUGACGAAGCUGAAGAAAUGAAGAGCUGAGCUGAUGAACUGAAGAGCUGAGCUGAAGAUUCUCUUCUCCAGAACCCAAAUUACUUGAAGAGAUGACGAGCUGAAGCUAAAGAUCUGGGAUCGAAGAACUGAAAAACGGAAGCUGAAGACUCGAUUUUGUCAAGCGUAAGUACUGAUUUCGUACAGUCGAGUACUAAAAACAAUCAAUUUAUUGAAUUCUUAUUUUUUGUUUAGAAGUAAUUUUAUUACUUUAGGGUUCGAAGAACUGAAAAAC
rnacentral:misc_RNA from 1 species